rnacentral:rRNA from 1 species
UACGAAGGGUGCAAACGUUGCUCGGAAUUAUUGGGCGUAAAGCGCACGUAGGCGGCUUAGCAAGUCUGAUGUGAAAUCCCUCGGCUUAACCAAGGAACGUGCGAGUCGGAAACUGGCUGAGCUUGAGUACGAAAGAGGAAUCGCGGAAUUCCCGGUGUAGAGGUGAAAUUCGUAGAUAUCGGGAGGAACACCAGUGGCCGAAGGCGGCGAUCUGGGUCGAUACUGACGCUGAGGUGCGAAAGCGUGGGGAGCAAACAGGG